GAAGUAUUCGGUUCUGCUGGUGCUCACUGACGGUGUGGUGAGUGACAUGGCCGAGACCCGAACAGCCAUUGUGCGAGCCUCGCGCCUGCCCAUGUCCAUCAUCAUCGUGGGUGUGGGCAAUGCUGACUUCUCUGACAUGCGGCUACUGGACGGAGACGAUGGUCCCCUGCGUUGCCCAAAGGGGGUGCCUGCAGCCCGUGACAUCGUCCAGUUUGUGCCCUUCAGGGACUUCAAGGAUGCUGCCCCCUCAGCGCUAGCUAAGUGUGUCCUGGCAGAGGUGCCACGGCAGGUGGUAGAGUACUAUGCCAGCCAAGGAAUCAGCCCAGGGGCUCCCAGGCCCUCCACGCCAGCCGUGACUCCCAGCCCCAGCCCAUGACUACCUCUCGACAUAACCAACACCCCCUCAGUCUCUCAGUGCCUGUGCUGACCCUUGUGAUUCCAAUGACCAGUGUCUCUGCCUUUUGGACCAGCGGUGCCCUGCGGGUCCUGGAAGUGAGUGGUGGGCCCUGUUCCCAUCUCUCCAAGCCCGAUAUCCCUCAACUCUAAGGACCCUCAACAACUUCCUCCAGUGAUUGUGACUCUAUGGAUGUAAAUAAAGGGAACCCCCCCAAGUGCUCCAGCCUCUA
rnacentral:lncRNA from 1 species